GAUGGGAGCUUGCUCCCUGAUGUUAGCGGCGGACGGGUGAGUAACACGUGGGUAACCUGCCUGUAAGACUGGGAUAACUCCGGGAAACCGGGGCUAAUACCGGAUGCUUGUUUGAACCGCAUGGUUCAAACAUAAAAGGUGGCUUCGGCUACCACUUACAGAUGGACCCGCGGCGCAUUAGCUAGUUGGUGAGGUAACGGCUCACCAAGGCAACGAUGCGUAGCCGACCUGAGAGGGUGAUCGGCCACACUGGGACUGAGACACGGCCCAGACUCCUACGGGAGGCAGCAGUAGGGAAUCUUCCGCAAUGGACGAAAGUCUGACGGAGCAACGCCGCGUGAGUGAUGAAGGUUUUCGGAUCGUAAAGCUCUGUUGUUAGGGAAGAACAAGUACCGUUCGAAUAGGGCGGUACCUUGACGGUACCUAACCAGAAAGCCACGGCUAACUACGUGCCAGCAGCCGCGGUAAUACGUAGGUGGCAAGCGUUGUCCGGAAUUAUUGGGCGUAAAGGGCUCGCAGGCGGUUCCUUAAGUCUGAUGUGAAAGCCCCCGGCUC
rnacentral:rRNA from 1 species